AGAGAUGUGUGAUGACGCAUAUCAAUAAGCGGAGGAAAAGAAACUAACAAGGAUUCCCUUAGUAACGGCGAGUGAAGCGGGAAGAGCUCAAAUUUGAAAUCUUCAAGGUUCUACCUUGACGAAUUGUAGUUUAUAGAAGUGUUUUCUGUUAGUAGAGUGGCAAAAGUUCUUUGGAAUAGGACAUCAUAGAGGGUGAGAAUCCCGUAUUUGGUCAUUCUUUCUAGCUUUGUGAUACACUUUCAACGAGUCGGAUUGUUUGGGAAUGCAGUCCAAAAUGGGUGGUAAAUUUCAUCUAAAGCUAAAUAUUGGCGAGAGACCGAUAGCGAACAAGUACCGUGAGGGAAAGAUGAAAAGAACUUUGAAAAGAGAGUUAAACAGUACGUGAAAUUGUCAAAAGGGAAGCGUUUGACACCAGUGUUGUUUUUCCGAAAAUCAAUUACGAAUGUUUUGUUUUUGAGGAGUUAUGACUUCAUCGGCUUGCUCCUUUCUUUAUGAAACUUUCUUAAUGCACUUUUCGGUUAACAAGUCAACAUCAAUUUCUUUUGUUGUAAAAGGGUAUGAGGAAGGUGGCUUUCUUUUCGGAGAAAGUGUUUAUAGCCUUGUACCUCUGCAAUCGGAGAGAUUGAGGUCUGCAGCGUAGAUCCUUCGGGGUUAGAUACAUUUGUGCUAAGCUAUAGCCUUUUCAUAGACAACUUGUUGACUAUGCUCAGUCAUGUAGCUUACUCGCUUAUGCUAUUUUACCUACGCUUAGGAUGUUGAAGUCAUCGUAUCGCGC
rnacentral:rRNA from 1 species